rnacentral:rRNA from 1 species
ACAGUCGAACGAUGAUGCCCAGCUUGCUGGGUGGAUUAGUGGCGAACGGGUGAGUAACACGUGAGUAACCUGCCCCUGACUCUGGGAUAAGCGUUGGAAACGACGUCUAAUACUGGAUAUGACUGCCGGCCGCAUGGUCUGGUGGUGGAAAGAUUUUUUGGUUGGGGAUGGACUCGCGGCCUAUCAGCUUGUUGGUGAGGUAAUGGCUCACCAAGGCGACGACGGGUAGCCGGCCUGAGAGGGUGACCGGCCACACUGGGACUGAGACACGGCCCAGACUCCUACGGGAGGCAGCAGUGGGGAAUAUUGCACAAUGGGCGAAAGCCUGAUGCAGCAACGCCGCGUGAGGGAUGACGGCCUUCGGGUUGUAAACCUCUUUUAGUAGGGAAGAAGCGUAAGUGACGGUACCUGCAGAAAAAGCACCGGCUAACUACGUGCCAGCAGCCGCGGUAAUACGUAGGGUGCAAGCGUUGUCCGGAAUUAUUGGGCGUAAAGAGCUCGUAGGCGGUUUGUCGCGUCUGCUGUGAAAUCCCGAGGCUCAACCUCGGGCUUGCAGUGGGUACGGGCAGACUAGAGUGCGGUAGGGGAGAUUGGAAUUCCUGGUGUAGCGGUGGAAUGCGCAGAUAUCAGGAGGAACACCGAUGGCGAAGGCAGAUCUCUGGGCCGUAACUGACGCUGAGGAGCGAAAGCGUGGGGAGCGAACAGGAUUAGAUACCCUGGUAGUCCACGCCGUAAACGUUGGGCGCUAGAUGUAGGGACCUUUCCACGGUUUCUGUGUCGUAGCUAACGCAUUAAGCGCCCCGCCUGGGGGAGUACGGCCGCAAGGCUAAAACUCAAAGGAAUUGACGGGGGCCCGCACAAGCGGCGGAGCAUGCGGAUUAAUUCGAUGCAACGCGAAGAACCUUACCAAGGCUUGACAUACACCGGAAACGGCCAGAGAUGGUUGCCCCCUUGUGGUCGGUGUACAGGUGGUGCAUGGUUGUCGUCAGCUCGUGUCGUGAGAUGUUGGGUUAAGUCCCGCAACGAGCGCAACCCUCGUUCUAUGUUGCCAGCGCGUUAUGGCGGGGACUCAUAGGAGACUGCCGGGGUCAACUCGGAGGAAGGUGGGGAUGACGUCAAAUCAUCAUGCCCCUUAUGUCUUGGGCUUCACGCAUGCUACAAUGGCCGGUACAAAGGGCUGCGAUACCGUAAGGUGGAGCGAAUCCCAAAAAGCCGGUCUCAGUUCGGAUUGAGGUCUGCAACUCGACCUCAUGAAGUCGGAGUCGCUAGUAAUCGCAGAUCAGCAACGCUGCGGUGAAUACGUUCCCGGGCCUUGUACACACCGCCCGUCAAGUCAUGAAAGUCGGUAACACCCGAAGCCGGUGGCCUAACCCUUGUG